CCGCGAGGUGGAGCUAAUCCCAUAAAACCGAUCGUAGUCCGGAUCGCAGUCUGCAACUCGACUGCGUGAAGUCGGAAUCGCUAGUAAUCGUGAAUCAGAACGUCACGGUGAAUACGUUCCCGGGCCUUGUACACACCGCCCGUCACACCAUGGGAGUGGGUUGCACCAGAAGUAGCUAGUCUAACCUUCGGGAGGACGGUUACCACGGUGUGAUUCAUGACUGGGGUGAAGUCGUAACAAGGUAGCCGUAGGGGAACCUGCGGCUGGAUCACCUCCUUA
rnacentral:rRNA from 1 species